rnacentral:rRNA from 1 species
UAUGCUACAAGCAGUGGGAGCCCACUUUGUUGGGUGACUGCGUACCUUUUGUAUAAUGGGUCAGCGACUUAUUUUCAGUGGCGAGCUUAACCGAAUAGGGGAGGCGUAGCGAAAGCGAGUCUUAAUAGGGCGUCUAGUCGCUGGGAAUAGACCCGAAACCGGGCGAUCUAUCCAUGGGCAGGUUGAAGGUUGGGUAACACUAACUGGAGGACCGAACCGACUACCGUUGAAAAGUUAGCGGAUGACCUGUGGAUCGGAGUGAAAGGCUAAUCAAGCUCGGAGAUAGCUGGUUCUCCUCGAAAGCUAUUUAGGUAGCGCCUCAUGUAUCACUGUAGGGGGUAGAGCACUGUUUCGGCUAGGGGGUCAUCCCGACUUACCAAACCGAUGCAAACUCCGAAUACCUACAAGUGCCGAGCAUGGGAGACACACGGCGGGUGCUAACGUCCGUCGUGAAAAGGGAAACAACCCAGACCGUCAGCUAAGGUCCCAAAGUCAUGGUUAAGUGGGAAACGAUGUGGGAAGGCUUAGACAGCUAGGAGGUUGGCUUAGAAGCAGCCACCCUUUAAAGAAAGCGUAAUAGCUCACUAGUCGAGUCGGCCUGCGCGGAAGAUGUAACGGGGCUCAAACCAUGCACCGAAGCUACGGGUAUCAUCUUAUGAUGAUGCGGUAGAGGAGCGUUCUGUAAGCCUGUGAAGGUGAGUUGAGAAGCUUGCUGGAGGUAUCAGAAGUGCGAAUGCUGACAUGAGUAACGACAAUGGGUGUGAAAAACACCCACGCCGAAAGACCAAGGUUUCCUGCGCAACGUUAAUCGACGCAGGGUUAGUCGGUCCCUAAGGCGAGGCUGAAAAGCGUAGUCGAUGGAAAACAGGUUAAUAUUCCUGUACUUCUGGUUAUUGCGAUGGAGGGACGGAGAAGGCUAGGCCAGCCUGGCGUUGGUAGUCCAGGUUUAAGGUGGUAGGCUGAGAUCUUAGGUAAAUCCGGGAUCUUAAGGCCGAGAGCUGAUGACGAGUGUUCUUUUAGAACAUGAAGUGGUUGAUGCCAUGCUUCCAAGAAAAGCUUCUAAGCUUCAGGUAACCAGGAACCGUACCCCAAACCGACACAGGUGGUUGGGUAGAGAAUACCAAGGCGCUUGAGAGAACUCGGGUGAAGGAACUAGGCAAAAUGGCACCGUAACUUCGGGAGAAGGUGCGCCGGUGAGGGUGAAGCAUUUACUGCGUAAGCCCACGCCGGUCGAAGAUACCAGGCCGCUGCGACUGUUUAUUAAAAACACAGCACUCUGCAAACACGAAAGUGGACGUAUAGGGUGUGACGCCUGCCCGGUGCCGGAAGGUUAAUUGAUGGGGUUAGCGCAAGCGAAGCUCUUGAUCGAAGCCCCGGUAAACGGCGGCCGUAACUAUAACGGUCCUAAGGUAGCGAAAUUCCUUGUCGGGUAAGUUCCGACCUGCACGAAUGGCGUAACGAUGGCGGCGCUGUCUCCACCCGAGACUCAGUGAAAUUGAAAUCGCUGUGAAGAUGCAGUGUAUCCGCGGCUAGACGGAAAGACCCCGUGAACCUUUACUAUAGCUUUGCACUGGACUUUGAAUUUGCUUGUGUAGGAUAGGUGGGAGGCUUUGAAGCGUGGACGCCAGUCUGCGUGGAGCCAACCUUGAAAUACCACCCUGGCAACUUUGAGGUUCUAACUCAGGUCCGUUAUCCGGAUCGAGGACAGUGUAUGGUGGGUAGUUUGACUGGGGCGGUCUCCUCCUAAAGAGUAACGGAGGAGUACGAAGGUGCGCUCAGACCGGUCGGAAAUCGGUCGUAGAGUAUAAAGGCAAAAGCGCGCUUGACUGCGAGACAGACACGUCGAGCAGGUACGAAAGUAGGUCUUAGUGAUCCGGUGGUUCUGUAU